rnacentral:rRNA from 1 species
AAAUAGAUACCCGGGUAGUCCACGCCGUAAACGGUGGGCACUAGAUGUGGGGCUCUUUCCAUGAGUUCCGCGUCGCAGCUAACGCAUUAAGUGCCCCGCCUGGGGGGUACGGCCGCAAGGCUAAAACUCAAAGGAAUUGACGGGGGCCCGCACAAGCGGCGGAGCAUGCGGAUUAAUUCGAUGCAACGCGAAGAACCUUACCAAGGCUUGACAUAUACGGUCUAUCCCUAGAGAUAGGGAGUGCUUCGGCGCCGUAUACAGGUGGUGCAUGGUUGUCGUCAGCUCGUGUCGUGAGAUGUUGGGUUAAGUCCCGCAACGAGCGCAACCCUCGUCCUAUGUUGCCAGCGGGUAAUGCCGGGGACUCAUGGGAGACUGCCGGGGUCAACUCGGAGGAAGGUGGGGAUGAGGUCAAAUCAUCAUGCCCCUUAUGUCUUGGGCUUCACGCAUGCUACAAUGGCCGGUACAAAGGGCUGCAAUACCGCAAGGUGGAGCGAAUCCCAAAAAGCCGGUCUCAGUUCGGAUUGAGGUCUGCAACUCG